rnacentral:rRNA from 1 species
AACGAACGCUGGCGGCAUGCCUAACACAUGCAAGUCGAACGAUUGCCUUCGGGUGAUAGUGGCGCACGGGUGCGUAACGCGUGGGAAUCUGCCCUUAGGUUCGGAAUAACAGCUGGAAACGGCUGCUAAUACCGGAUGAUAUCGCGAGAUCAAAGAUUUAUCGCCUGAGGAUGAGCCCGCGUUGGAUUAGGUAGUUGGUGGGGUAAAGGCCUACCAAGCCGACGAUCCAUAGCUGGUCUGAGAGGAUGAUCAGCCACACUGGGACUGAGACACGGCCCAGACUCCUACGGGAGGCAGCAGUGGGGAAUAUUGGACAAUGGGCGCAAGCCUGAUCCAGCAAUGCCGCGUGAGUGAUGAUGGCCCUAGGGUUGUAAAGCUCUUUUACCCGGGAAGAUAAUGACUGUACCGGGAGAAUAAGCCCCGGCUAACUCCGUG